rnacentral:tRNA from 1 species
GGCUUGUUGGCUCAUUGGUUAGAGCUCAGUGAUUUUAAGCACGGAAAUCGUGAGUUCGAUCCUCAUCCAAGCCA